rnacentral:rRNA from 1 species
UACGUAGGGCGCAAGCGUUGUCCGGAAUUAUUGGGCGUAAAGAGCUCGUAGGCGGUUAGUUACGUCGGCUGUGAAAACCUGGGGCUCAACCCCGGGCCUGCAGUGGGUACGGGCAGACUAGAGUGCGGUAGGGGAGAUUGGAAUUCCUGGUGUAGCGGUGGAAUGCGCAGAUAUCAGGAGGAACACCGAUGGCGAAGGCAGAUCUCUGGGCCGUAACUGACGCUGAGGAGCGAAAGCGUGGGGAGCGAACAGG